rnacentral:rRNA from 1 species
UNUGACUUGAGUGCAGAAGGGGAGAGUGGAAUUCCAUGUGUAGCGGUGAAAUGCGUAGAUAUAUGGAGGAACNCCAGUGGCGAAAGCGGCUCUCUGGUCUGUCACUGACGCUGAGGCUCGAAAGCGUGGGUAGCGAACAGGAUUAGAUACCCUGGUAGUCCACGCCGUAAACGAUGAGUGCUAGGUGUUAGGCCCUUUCCGGGGCUUAGUGCCGGAGCUAACGCAAUAAGCACUCCGCCUGGGGAGUACGACCGCAAGGUUGAAACUCAAAGGAAUUGACGGGGGCCCGCACAAGCGGUGGAGCAUGUGGUUUAAUUCGAAGCAACGCGAAGAACCUUACCAGGUCUUGACAUCCCGAUGCUAUUCUUAGAGAUAGGAAGUUACUUCGGUACGUCGGAGACAGGUGGUCCAUGGUUGUCGUCAGCUCGUGUCGUGAGAUGUUGGGUUAAGUCCCGCAACGAGCGCAACCCUUAUUGUUAGUUGCCAUCAUUAAGUUGGGCACUCUAGCGAGACUGCCGGUAAUAAACCGGAGGAAGGUGGGGAUGACGUCAAAUCAUCAUGCCCCUUAUGACCUGGGCUACACACGUGCUACAAUGGUCGGUACAACGAGUUGCGAGCCGGUGACGGCAAGCUAAUCUCUGUAAGCCGAUCUCAGUUCGGAUUGGAGGCUGCAACUCGCCUCCAUGAAGUCGGAAUCGCUAGUAAUCGCGGAUCAGCACGCCGCGGUGAAUACGUUCCCGGGCCUUGUACACACCGCCCGUCACACCACGAGAGUUUGUAACACCCG